AGAUUGAACGCUGGCGGCAUGCCUAACACAUGCAAGUCGAACGGGAGUAGCAAUACUCUAGUGGCGGACGGGUGAGGAAUACGUAGGAAUUUGCCCUUAAGUGGGGGAUAACCCGGGGAAACCCGGAUUAAUACCGCAUGACCUCGAAAGAGCAAAGUGGGGGAUCGCAAGACCUCACGCGUUUUGGAGAAGCCUACGUCGGAUUAGCUAGUUGGUGAGGUAAUGGCUCACCGAAGGCGACGAUCCGUAACUGGUCUGAGAGGAUGAUCAGUCACACCGGAACUGAGACACGGUCCGGACUCCGUACGGGAGGCAGCAGGUGGGGAAUAGUUGGACAAGUCGGGCGCAAGCCUGACUCCAGCAAGUCGCCGCGUGUGUGAAGAAGGCCGUUGGUUAGUAAGCUAACGUUUAAGGUUAGGGAAAGUAAAAAC
rnacentral:rRNA from 1 species